AAAGUUUGGAAGAAAAAGUUUUAGAGCAGAUAAGGUAAUCCGAGAAAAAAAUUUUGAAAGAAAUAGAUCACAACCAACAAUCAAUAAAGCGAAGCCUUACACGAAUUUUACAAGAAACCAAACAAAGCAAAUACAGCCAUAAAACAUCACGGAAUGAGAUUAUCCCCAAAACACCGUUUGACAACAUUGAGGAUUUUAAAAAAUUUGAAAAGGAAAUUCAGGACCAUUCUUCCAAAUACGAAAGUCUGUCCGAAGAACUUUCACACAUAAUUUGCACGAGCAGUGAAAAAUUUAUUAAAAUGGCUUGGCGUAAAAUCGUUACCGAUAACGCAGCACAAAAUUUAUGCUGGAAAGGGACAAACACCAAAGUGGCAGCAAGAAGUUUAAGCAUUACAGCUGCUUUAAAAAAUGCACUUUCGAUGAAAUUUCCUCAAUCCACAGACGACGAAUUCGCACGAACCUCCAUUACCUUUUUCCAGCAUGCAAAAGGACGUCUUCAAAAACGCACUGGAUAUCAAAGCAAUAGAAAUAGUACUUUAGAAACUUACAAGAUAACUUCAUAAAACUAAGACUGAAUGAAUUAACAAUACUUUAUCCAUUUAUUUUUAUUAAAGUGCUUUAUAAUUUAAAAAAUGUGCCUUCUACUUUUUAAGUUAUCUAAACUUGAGCUAAAACAGGGACUAAAUACAAUUAUAAUUUAUGUUAAGCUACUGUAUUUGUACAUACACAGGAAGUCCGAUAAUUAGAAACAAUUCGUCAUUACAACUUUCGAAAAUUUAUUUUAAUUUAUACAGUUCAUGCUACAACGAAAUCCACAUAACUUAAAGUUUUAAACCUUGUACAAGACUUAUAAAAAUUCACCACAUUUUUUGAAAUUAAGCGAAUUUUUAUAAAUCGUGUACAAGGUUGAAAACUUGUAAGUUAUGUGGAUUUCGUUGUAGCAUGAACUAUGCUUUCGCAAAAAAAUAAAUUAAAAGUAAUAAAAAAAAAGUAAAUAGUCAAAAUUUUUAAAGACAAAUUGUUUCUAAUUAUAGGCCCGCCGGUGUAAAUUUUAAGGAAUUCGACUUAAUUUUCCAAAACGAGACUAAAUGUAACACUUAUAAGGACCUCAUGUGAAUGAACUUUAAGUUAACUAUUUUAUUAAUUUUAAAAUUAAUUAU